rnacentral:rRNA from 1 species
CAGCCCCUCGAGUGGUGGGGAUGAUUAUUUGGCCUAAAGCGUCCGUAGCCGGCCGUGUAAGUCUCCCGUUAAAUCCAGCGUCUCAAGCGUUGGACUGCGGGAGAUACUACUUGGCUAGAGAGUGGGAGAGGUCAGCGGUAUUCUGGGGGUAGGGGCGAAAUCCUUUGAUCCCCGGAGGACCACCAGUGGCGAAGGCUGCUGACUAGAACACGUCUGACGGUCAGGGACGAAAGCUGGGGUAGCGAACCGGAUUAGAUACCCGAGUAGUCC